rnacentral:rRNA from 1 species
UGGAAAGCGGGAGGUCAUUGAUGAGUUCUAUCACUCCCAACCCAUGUGAACAUACCUUACGUUGCCUCGGCAGGUCGCGCCUACCCCGUAGCCUCCUACCCUGUACGACCUACCCGGUAGACGCAGUUGGCCUGCCCGGGCACCCUAAAUUCUGUUGUUAUUGAAUUCAGAACCUAUAACUAAAUAAGUUAAAACUUUCAAUUUGGAUCUCUUGCUUCUGGCAUCGAUGAAGAACGCACCGAAAUGCGAAUAAGUAAUGUGAAUUGCAAAAUUCAGUGAAUCAUCAAAUCUUAGAACGCACAUUGCGCCUAUUAGUAUUCUAAUGGGGGAGCCUGUUCGAGCGUCAUUUCCACCCUUAAGCCUCUGUUGCUUAUUGUUAGGAGCCUACGGCUCCCGUAGCUCUUUAAGUUAGUGGCGGAGUCGGAUUACACUCUAAACGUAGUAAUUUUAUCUCACCUAUCAGUUGACUGGGUCCCUUGCCGUAGAAGACACAAAUUUCAAAACGUUGACCUCGUAUCACGUAGAAAUAUCCCGCUGACCUAUCCAU